GAUGAACGCUGGCGGCGUGCCUAAUACAUGCAAGUCGAGCGAACAGACGAGGAGCUUGCUCCUCUGACGUUAGCGGCGGACGGGUGAGUAACACGUGGAUAACCUACCUAUAAGACUGGGAUAACUUCGGGAAACCGGAGCUAAUACCGGAUAAUAUAUUGCACCGCAUGGUUCAAUAGUGAAAGACGGUUUUGCUGUCACUUAUAGAUGGAUCUGCGCCGCAUUAGCUAGUUGGUAAGGUAACGGCUUAUCAAGGCAACGAUGCGUAGCCGACGUGCGAGGGUGAUCGGCCACACUGGAACUGGGACACGGUCCAGGCUCCUACGGGAGGCAGCAGUAGGGAAUCUUCCGCAAUGGGCGAAAGCCUGACGGAGCAACGCCGCGUGAGUGAUGAAGGUCUUCGGAUCGUAAAACUCUGUUAUUAGGGAAGAACAAAUGUGUAAGUAACUAUGCACGUCUUGACGGUACCUAAUCAGAAAGCCACGGCUAACUACGUG
rnacentral:rRNA from 1 species